UGUCUCAGAUGGUACAGAAUCUGCCUGCAAUGCAGGAAACCCAGGUUCCAUCCCUGG
rnacentral:tRNA from 1 species